AUGUAUGGCGGAGUGUCCCUCGCGGACCUCGAGGUUCCGAUGGUGACGCGGAAGGUGACAGAGGCGAGUCUAUGGCAUAAUAAGAAGAAUCCCCGACUAGGGGGCAGCGGGGACAUGUGCUUCACGGGUCUCGGUGGGCGCAGGGGACUCGGCCUGGAUGACAACAAGGAGGACUUUGAGGCCGACUUUGAAGAAUUCGAGGCCGACUCUAGGGACUCCGAUCUUGAUCUCGGUCUUAGUGGGGUGGAUGAGAAGGAUGACGACGAGGAGGUCAUCGAAAUAAAGCCCGUCGCUGCUAUCAAGAAUCAGUCCCUCUUCCAAGCAAAAAUAAAGAGAAAGAACAAAUUCAGGGGUAUCCGUCAGCGCCCCUGGGGUAAGUGGGCUGCUGAAAUCAGAGAUCCUAGCAAGGGUGUCCGUGUCUGGCUUGGUACUUUCAACAGUGCUGAAGCUGCUGCAAGAGCUUAUGAUGUUGAAGCACGCAGGAUCUAUGGCAACAAGGCCAAUGUUAACUUUCCAGAGGAACCAAUAGUUCCUCAGAAGCGUCGUACUCGCCGUGCUGCUCCUAAAGCACCCAAGCUAAGCGCAUCACGGGAACCUACUGCCAUACCAGUAGUCAACAACCUUGCCAACCCAAAGGCUUUCGUCUACCCAUCUGCUGACUUUGCCUUAAACCAGUCACUUGCUCUGCAUGAGAACAUGUCAUUUGUUCCUGCAAUGAACUCUGAUGCCCCUGUUGAAGCCUCUGUUAUGAAUCUGCACUCUAACCAGGGAAGCAACUCCUUUGGCUACUCUGAAAUGGGUUGGAAUUAUGACACCAAGACUCCGGAUAUAUCAUCCACUGCUCCCAUUUCUACCAUCGCUGAUGGAGUAGAAUCUGCUCUUGUCCAGAGUAACCCCUACAACUCAGUGGUGACUGCUGAAGGAGCUGAAUCUGCUGCGCUCGUCCAGAGUAACACCUACAACUCAGUGGUGCCUCCUGCUAUGGAGAACAAUGAUGUCGAUAUCGUGGCUUUGGUGAGGCUUCUUAUGGAUGAUGGCGUGGUCGAGCCGAUCGAUAGCCUUCUGAAUUUUGAUGUGCCUCAGGAUGUCGUUGGCAACAUGGACAUUUGGAGUUCCGAUGACAUGCCCAUGUGUGGCGAGUUUUCUGAGGGAUCCAAACCUUGUAUAUAG
rnacentral:rRNA from 1 species